GGCUUAAUGAAAAUAAUUUUAAGUCGAUCUGCCCAAUGAUUAAUAAUUUAAUGGCUGCAGUAUAAUUAACUGUACUAAGGUAGCAUAGUCAAUUGUUUUUUAAUUGGAAACUGGAAUGAAAGAAUUAAUGAGAUAUAUACUGUCUCAUAUAUAUGUGAUUAAUUUAAAUUUUUAGUAAAAAUGCUAAAAUGGAUUUAUGGGACGAUAAGACCCUAUAGAAUUUUAUAUUAAAAUUUAGAUUAUUGUGAAAUUUUAAUUUUUAAUAUUUGAUUGGGAGGAUUAAUAAAUUUAAGUAACUUUAUUUUAAAAUUAAACUUUGAUUAAAGAAUUGUUUAUGAUUUUGUAUUAUAGAUUAUAAGAAAAAAUUACCUUAGGGAUAACAGCGUAAUAUCUUUUUAAAGAUCAAAUUGAUAAAGAUGAUUGCGACCUCGAUGUUGAAUUAAGAUAAAUUUUAAAUGUAGAAGUUUAAUAAUUAAGUCUGUUCGACUUUUAAAAUCUUACAUGAUUUGAGUUCAAAUCGACGUGAGU
rnacentral:rRNA from 1 species